rnacentral:rRNA from 1 species
UCCGUGAGGCAAGUCUGGUGCCAGCAGCCGCGGUAAUUCCAGCUCCAAUAGCGUAUAUUAAAGUUGUUGCAGUUAAAAAGCUCGUAGUUGAAUUUCGGGGUUAAUAAGUUGGUCAUGCUUAUGGUAUGUACUGGCUUUAUUGAUUCCUACCUCUUGACGAACUGUGAUGCCAUUAAUUUGGUGUUGCAAGGAAUCAGGACUGUUACCUUGAAAAAAUUAGAGUGUUUAAAGCAGGCUUACGCUUGAAUACAUUAGCAUGGAAUAAUGAAAUAGGACGUUUGAACCUAUUUGUUGGUUUCUAGGAUCGACGUAAUGAUUAAUAGGGAUAGUUGGGGGCAUUAGUAUUCAAUUGUCAGAGGUGAAAUUCUUGGAUUUAUUGAAGACUAACUACUGCGAAAGCAUUUGCCAAGGAUGUUUUCAUUAAUCAAGAACGAAAGUUAGGGGAUCGAAGACGAUCAGAUACCGUCGUAGUCUUAACCAUAAACUAUGCCGACUAGGGAUCGGAUGAUGUUA